CUCAUCUCUACUAAAAUUACAACAAAAAAAGUUAGCUACGCAUGGUGGCGCAUGCUUGUAAUCCCAGCUACUCAGGAGGCUGAGGCAUGAGAAUCACUUGAGCACAGGAGGUGGAGGUUCCAGUGAGCUGAAAUUGCACCACUGCACUCCAGCCUUGGCCACAGAAUGACACUCUGUCCCAAAACAAAACAAAAAAGCCUCCUUAGAUUCAACCUGGAUUCUGGCCUCAGUUCCACUGGUCACCGUUCAGCUAUUUUUCAUCUCUGAGUCUCUGUUUGUUUAACUUGAAAAGGAAGUUAGCAUUUUGCUUGCAGAGGUGCUGAGGAUUAAAUGAGAGAAUACAUGGAAAGCAUUAGGCUUGUAGCACACUUAGCAGAUGGUGGUUGGCUCCCUCUGCUUUUCCACCAGUCUGUGGCCUGCAGUUUAAAUGGUGGGAAGGAGGACAUGUGAUUUGAGACUGGGGAAGGAGGCAUGGGGUUCUAGGCAAGGGAGGAAGUUUCUUAGGCCUGGAGCCAGGGGCCAGAGGCCCAGGCAGGUGACAGAGCCCCACAGUGCUCUCACUACCCUAUUAAUGGUCCCAGAAUCUGGAAGCCAGCCACCACGUGCCCUCAUGCCCAGGGUCUUCCUGCAGCUGGAGCUGAAGAGCCAAGAGUCUCAGAGUCUGCAGCAGCAGCGAGACUAAUACCUGGGUCACCCAGCAGCACGUGGCCACCUAUCAGCAGCUGACCUCCGAGAAGGAGGCGCUGCACAGGGAGUUACUGCUGCAGACCCAGCUCAUGGACCAGCUAUGCAGCAGGAAGCUCGGGCAAAGCGGUGGCUGAGAUGGCCUGCCAAACCUGCAGGAGACCCAGGGGAGGGAGUCGCUGAGGACAGGGCCCCGAGGGGGACAACCUGGCAACCUCCGUGCCUUCUCACUCUGUUUCCCAUCCCCUUAGGAGCACCUAGAAGCUGCCAGCCAGUGGAACCAACAGCUAGAGGCCCACUUGAGCCUCAUGGCUCUCCCUGGAGAAGGAGAUGAAGGAGGACAUCGAGACAGCGAGGAGGAGGAGGCACCUCGGCCCAUGCCACACAUCCCAGAGGACCUGGAGUGCCAGGAGGCCAUGGUGAGUCUGACUGUCCCUGCUCCACUUUGCCACCUUCCUCUGUGGUCCCUGGAAGGAGCCAGAGGCAUGGGCCCCGCCCCAGGGACUGGGGAUGAGUCUGUGUGUGGGGAGAGCUACCGGCCCUGCAGGGGCCAUGGAGAAGCUGAAGAUGAGUGCCCCUGGCGUGGGCCAAGAAAAGUGGGGGCGGGCAGGAUAGGUCACUCCCGAGGUGUGACCCCAUUAUUUUGGCUCCAGAGCAGCUUUAUGGACCUCCCGAAGGAGAAGGCGGACAGGAAGGAGCAGGUGGAAAGACUAGAGCUUGGAUUCAUCCAGCUCUCUGGAGCGACAGAGGGCAUGAGUGAGCAGGAGGCCAGGGCAUGGCAGGGGGAGCUGCAGGGCCGUCGGAGGGGCCCCAGUGUCUGAGCCCUGUCCUCUCGCAGGAGACUACAUCAGCGAAUAUGAGAGCCAGGGGGCAGUGCCAAACACUCGGCACCAGGAGAAGGAGGACGUCAUGGGUCUGGCUCAGAACGAGGAGAUGAAGGUAGAGGGCGUGCAACGUCUCUGCAGGGGUGCGGGUGGGCGUGGGAUGUGAAGCCAGCUCAGGCGUGGCAGCUGAGCACCCCUCCUUGCAGGUGAAGCUGCUGGAGCUGCAGAAGCUGGUGUUGCCGCUUGUGUGCAACCACGAGGGGCAUGACAAAUUCCCCUCCGCUGCCCAGAACCGUGGUGAUGAGCCCGCUCUAGGGCCCCAGCCCCCAGGAGCUUGGGGCUGCGGAGGAGCAGGGUGGUGAGUAGCGCCUCAGGCGGGUGGGCAGGCAGGAGCAGGGGAGGCUCGCACUGUGCUCAGACCCCCGCCUCCCUCUCUCCCAAGAUCUUUGUGAGGUGAGCCUGGCCCACAGCGUGGAGCCUGCAGUGGGAGAGGCCAGGGAGGGUUCUCCCCGUGGCAACCCCACCACAGAGAAGAUCGUGCAGCUGCUUCCUGUAAUGCAGGACACCCAGGAGCACCCAGGCUUGGCCAGCAAACCCUCGCGUCCCUUUCUACCGGGCAGCGGAGAACAGGGAGAUCAACAUCGUCAUCAUCUGAGAGCUGGUCAAGAAAUUGAAAACAACAACAACAACAACAACGAAAAGUUAUGGGGUUAAUCCCCUGCACAAUUCAUUUACCUCAUUUGAAUGUUACAGCCCCUCAUGUUUAUUUGUGUUUCUAAUUUACAGUUUAAAUUUAUUUAUAAAAAGUUAAGGGAGAGUGGCUCUUUCCCUAAUGUUCACUGUGGCAUCCUUUAGCAUUUUUGUUUUUACUUUGAUAAUUGUAGGUCUUGAGCGUGCAUAUCGAGUUUGCCCUCAGGUGGUGGGAGUUCAAACACACAAAGACCCACUGUUUGCACAAAACUAUUCUUGCUGGUUUGGAAUAGGCUGCCGUGCUUUUUUUACUGUUAUUGCAGCAUGUAUAUUCAUUACAGAAUUCAGAUAAAAUUCGCUUGUGUUCUGCUAUUAUGUUUGAUGGAAUCCUAAUCACAGUGAGCUCUUCAUUAGCUCAAUAUGUGGUUUGCCCUCAAGUGCGCACUGUUUCUUACUUUGUAAUAUGCCCCUGUGAGUACUGACAUUUAGAGUUGUUUAAAGGCCGAGAACUGGAAACAGCCUUUCCCCUAUUUUCUGUGUAUUGGGGAUGGGAGGAAUAACAUUUUGGGGAGCUUUUUAAAUCUCACAGAAGAGGAAAGUGGCCUGCUCUGGCAGGUGUGUGCAGGAUAGAGUGUGUUUCAUUUGUUCUGGUGCCAGGAAUGAGCGCAGUACUAUGGUAGUUCCCUGAGGAUUUGUACGUGCUCUGGGCUCCUGAAGAUAUCGCAGCAUGAGCUGCAGCAGUUGGACUCUUUCUCAGUGACCUAAAAGGGAUUAUUUCUGAGGAAUGAAAGGCUCCCGUCAUUGACUGUGGAUGUGGAAAAUCUUUUCUAGCUUAGAGCCUUUAUAUCUACAAUACUUUAAAGUCAGAGUUCAUAUUACCUGUUUUAAUCACAUGACUACAAGUCCCAGUAUGCAAAAGGGCACUGGUUGGCAUUCUUCUUAAUGUAUUUAGUGAAGAUCAUAAGAAAUCCUUUCAGAGUUUAAAUGUCCCUGGAACAGGCAUACAGGCUCUAGUCAAGAAUGAAUGCGAGUGAAGGAAAGCUGUGUGACACCUGGCAUUCCUCUAUGUUCAUGGAGCUUCUUUGAGGCUAGAAGAUUGAUUUUACCAUCUAGACCUCUCUGGCUAAUACCUAUUCUUUAUUGAUUACUCUGACAUAGGAAUUUACUUAUUUUCCUUGAAUGGAAAACAUUGUAAAAACAAUAACAACCAUUAUUAAAACCAGUAUAUAUGAGAGUACUUAGUUGAAACAAAAAGGAGAUUUAGUAGACAGUAUUACACUACAUUUGAAAAUCAAGGGGAAGUUUAUGCAACUUAAAAUGUUUACAAGCUGCUGUGCAAUCUACUGUUUGUGAAGCUCAAAGUAUUAUGAGGAAAAGUGUCUAUACCAUCACAGAGUUAUGUCUCCUCACAAAGUUCUUUACGAAGAGUGAAAUAUGUUUUUAUACCUCUCGGUUUCAGUUAGAGGCAUAUUUUGUGCCCUAUUUAUGUUAAUGUGUCGUACAUGAUGAAUGAAUUCUUUCAGUCAUACAUUGCCUAAAUCAUAACUUAGAGGCUAUGAUGAGCCAGAUCAUACCACUGCACUCCAGGCUGGGCAAAAAAAGGGAACUCCAUCCUCAAAAAAAAAAACCUAUAAUAAUAAUAGAAAUCAAAGUGUAUAGAUUAUAAUGUACCAUAGACAGGCGGGACGCAGUGGCUCAUGCCUGUAAUCCCAGCACUUUGGGAGGCCAAGGCAGGUGGAUCACCUGAGGUCAGGAGUUCGAGAUCAGUCUGGUCAACAUGGUGAAACCCUGUCUCUACUAAAAAUACAAAAAUUAGCUGGGCAUGGUGGUGGGUGACUGUAAUCCCAGCUACUUGGGAGGCUGAAGCAGGAGAAUAGCUUGAACCUGGGAGGUGGAGAUUGCAGUGAGCUGAGAUCAUGCCAUUGCACUCCAGCCUGGGGGACAAGAAGAAAACUCUGUCAAAAAAAGAAAAGAGGAAGGAAGGAAGGAAGGAAGGAAGGAAAAGAAAGAGGGAGGGAGGGAAGGAAGGAAGGAAGAGAAAGAAAGAGGGAAGGAAGGAAGGAAGAGAAAGAGGGAAGGAAGGAAGGAAGGAAGGGAGACCAUAUUCAUACUAGUAGCUGCUUAUGACUAAUACAAGGACGAGGAUUAGAAGGGAUUCCAACUUUAUAAUACAUUCUUUCUUUUAUAUAAUAAUAAUAAUAAUAAAGGCAGCCAGGCACAGUGUCUCAUGCCUGUAAACCUAGUGCUUUGGGAGGCUGAGGUGGGAGGAUCAUUUGAGCCCAGGAAUUCGAGACCAGCCUGCGCCACAGAGCAAGACUCCAUCUCUACAAAAUCUUUAAAACAAUUAGCCAGGUAUGGUAGCCUGUGCCUCUAGUCCCAGUUACUAGGGAGGCUAAGGCAAGAAAAUCAUGUGAGCCCAGGAGGUCGAGGCUGCAGUGAGC
rnacentral:lncRNA from 1 species